UACAGAGGUCCCAAGCGUUGUUCGGAUUCAUUGGGCGUAAAGGGUGCGUAGGUGGCGCCGUAAGUCGGGUGUGAAAUUUCGGAGCUUAACUCCGAAACUGCAUUCGAUACUGCGGUGCUUGAGGACUGGAGAGGAGACUGGAAUUCAUGGUGUAGCAGUGAAAUGCGUAGAGAUCAUGAGGAAGACCAGUGGCGAUGGCGGGUCUCUGGACAGUUCCUGACACUGAGGCACGAAGGCCAGGGGAGCAAACGGG
rnacentral:rRNA from 1 species